rnacentral:rRNA from 1 species
AUUGAACGCUGGCGGCAGGCUUAACACAUGCAAGUCGAACGAGUGGCGGACGGGUGAGUAAUGCUUGGGCAUCUAGCUUAUGGAGGGGGAUAACUACGGGGAACUGUAGCUAAAACCGCGUACCAUAGGAUGAGCCCAAGUGGGAUUAGGUAGUUGGUGAGGUAAAGGCUCCCCAAGCCGACGUUCUCUAGCUGGUCUGAGAGGAUGCCCAGCCACACUGGGACUGAGACACGGCCCAGACGCCUACGGGAGGCAGCAGUGGGGAAUAUUGCGCAAUGGGGGCAAGCUGACACAGUCAUGCCGCGUGAGUGAAGAAGGUCUUCGGAUUGUAAAGUUCUUUCAGUAGCGAGGCGUUAACUACAGAAGAAGCACCGGCUAACUCCGUGCCAGCAGCCGCGGUAAUUC